rnacentral:rRNA from 1 species
AAACUUGAGUGCAGAAGGGGAGAGUGGAAUUCCAUGUGUAGCGGUGAAAUGCGUAGAUAUAUGGAGGAACACCGGUGGCGAAAGCGGCUCUCUGGUCUGUAACUGACGCUGAGGCUCGAAAGCGUGGGGAGCGAACAGGAUUAGAUACCCUGGUAGUCCACGCCGUAAACGAUGAGUGCUAGGUGUUGGAUCCUUUCCGGGAUUCAGUGCCGCAGUUAACGCAUUAAGCACUCCGCCUGGGGAGUACGACCGCAAGGUUGAAACUCAAAGGAAUUGACGGGGGCCCGCACAAGCGGUGGAGCAUGUGGUUUAAUUAGAAGCAACGCGAAGAACCUUACCAGGUCUUGACAUCCCGAUGCUAUUUCUAGAGAUAGAAAGUUACUUCGGUACAUCGGUGACAGUUGGUGCAUGGUUGUCGUCAGCUCGUGUCGUGAGAUGUUGGGUUAAGUCCCGCAACGAGUGCAACCCCUAUUGUUAGUUGCCAUCAUUCAGUUGGGCACUCUAGCGAGUCUGCCGGUAAUAAACCGGAGGAAGGUGGGGAGUACGUCA